rnacentral:rRNA from 1 species
UACGGGGGGGCGAGCGUUGUUCGGAAUCACUGGGCGUAAAGGGCGCGUAGGCGGCCCGCACAAGUCUGCGGUGAAAACCUCCGGCUUAACCGGGGGCCGGCCGUGGAAACUGUCGGGCUGGAGGCUGGGAGAGGGCAGCGGAAUUCCCGGGUGUAGCGGUGAAAUGCGUAGAGAUCGGGAGGAACACCGGGCGGCGAAGGCGGCUGCCUGGACCA